rnacentral:lncRNA from 1 species
UUUUUUUUUUUUUUUUUUUUUUUUUUUUUAGGGCUUCUCCUGUGGCAUAUAGAAGUUCCCAGGCUGGGGGUUGAAUUGGAGCUGCAGCUGCUGGCUUACACCAUAGCCACAUCACCACCAAAUCCUUAACCCACUGAGCAGGGCCAGGGAUUGAACCUGCCUCCUCAUGGAUGCUAGUCAAGCUUGUUACUGCUGAGCCACUACAGGAACUCUAACCCACCACUUUUUUUUUUUUUUGGCUUUUUUUAGGGCUGCACCCAAGGCAUAUGGAAGUUCCUAGGCUAGGGAUGCAAUUGGAGCCACAGCUGCCAGCCUCAGCCACAUCCACAGCAACGCAGCUCUGAUUCGACCCCUAGCCAGGGAAGUUCCAUAUGCCAUAGGUUUGGCCCUAAAAAAAUAAAUAAAUAAAUAAAUAAAAGACAAAAAAUAAAAAACAGAACAAAAAGGUAGAGCUGAUUUACAAUGUCAUGCCAAUUUCUGCUCUACAGCAAAGUGACCCAGCCAUAUAUAUUUUUUUUUUCUCAUAUCAUCCCCCAUCAUGUUCCAUCCCAAGAGACUAGACACAGUUCCCUGUGCUGUAGGGUAGGACCUCAUUGCUUAUCCAUUCUAAAUGUAAUAGUUUGCAUCUACUAACCCCAAACUCCCAGUCCCUCCCAUUCCCCCACUUCCCCCCUUGGAAACCCCAAGUCUGUUAUCCAUGUCUGAUGUUUCAAUACUACUUUGAAAGGAGGAAGGAUGGGCAAUCUAAUAUAUGGCACAAAUGAAAGAAAAGAAAAUCAUGGACUUGGAGAACAGAUGUGUGGUUGCCUAGGGGGAGGAGGAGGGAGUGGGAGAGAUUGGGAAUUUGGGCUUAAUAGAUGCAAAUUAUUGCCUUGGGGUGGAUGGACAGUGAGAUCCUGCUAUAUAGCACUGGGAACUAUAACUAGUCACUUAUGCUGGAGCACGAUCAUGUGAGAAAAAGAAUGUAUAUAUGUGUGUGUGACUGGGUCUCCUUGCUGUACAGUAGAAAAUUGACAGAACACUGUAAACCAGCUAUGAUGGAAAAAAUAAAAAUCAUUAAAAAAAAAAAAGAAAGAAAGGAGGCAGGAUAAUGUUCUGGGAAGAGCAGAGUAGGUGUGAGUCCCAACUGUGUCUCUAGCUCUAUGGCCCUGCCAAGUUAUCUGAUCUCUCCAAGCCUCAGUUUCCUAAUCUGUAAAAUGGGGAAAUUAUACCAACCACGGCUGACUAUAUUCAAUCUGUCUGCCCUCAGCGAGUUCUGGGGGCACCAACCCCCACAGUUCGGUCCCAUCCUUUGGCUGCAGGGGAGGUACGUGACCUGGCCUAGACAGUUAAUGGUUGUCUUCCCCCUGUUCACUGAGUGGAUAUAUAACCCUCAU